AUGAUGAGGGGUUUGCAGUGUUUGAUGGUACAGAACUCUAAUGGGACUGCUGUUCCUAGGGUAAGAAUUGCUGGAGCCGGAUGGGACUCAUUAUUUUCGAUAACUGUCAAAUGGAACAUCUGUAACUUUCAGACCAAGAGAGAAAACAAUCAGACAAUUCUUCUGGAGGUGGAAGUGGGGGGACUCUUCAGAGGAGUGACCUGCUCCUUAAGAAGUAUGUAAACAUAUCCAGUCCCAUGCUGUUCAUGGGAGUUUUUUAGCUAGUUAGUGCUAUUAUUGGCAGGAGAGGGGGGUCUGGUGGGGUGUCAGGAGGUGAGACGGAGGAGGCUUUUUAAAUCAUGACUCUGGAGAAAAAAAGAAGAGUUAUCUAUGUUAAUCUAGGGGAUAUUCUUGGGAAUAGGAAUGAAUGAAUGGCAGUGUUUGUUAUUAAUCACUAUCCAUGUUAUUAGCUGUCAACUUGUACCUUUUUACUGCUUCUGAUAUUUAUUAGCUGGGUAAUUGGACAAAUCACUUAAUCUCCAUGAGCCUUCUUUUGCUGACCUGAAAAGUGGGGUUAAUAUUAUCUGUAAUAUUCACCUAAAUAGGUUGUUGAGGAUUAAUUGAAAGUAUGCUUUGAGCUAUUAUGAAUUCUGGGAUUGACUAUUUCUCUUCUUCUCUUUUUCCUCAUCCUUGUCUUCCUCCUCUUCCUCUUGUUUUUCUUCUUCUUCCUCUUCUUUCUCUGAUUUGCCCAUGGUCACAUAAGUAGUAAGUAUCUGAAACAGGAGCUGAACUCUGAUCAUCUCACUCCAACUAUUCACUAAGCUUUGCUGCUUCCAGAUCAGUGAGAAUUUAUUACUGAUUAUUAUUAUUAGUAUUCAUUGGGAUAAGAAAUAAAACAAGAUUGGAUGGGUUGUAGGGUGCUAUUACAUAUUGUUUUUUUUUUUUUUUUUAAAUAAUGUAAUUUCCCAUAGCAGAGAGCAUGUGUUAUCAGUUUUGAGUCCUGCCUGGUGCGAGAAAAGGGCUGACUUGGGGACAUCUUCAGCUCCUUAGAGUACUAUCAGAUAGUCACUGGAAUAAAAGGUGCUUUUUCUGAGCUCCAUGCAUUCCCUUGUGGUCUUCUCUUUCUUAUUCCUAGCAAAUGUCUAUAUAUCCUCCAAAGAGUCCAGUUAAAAAUCCCACAUCCAUUAGGAAGUUUCUCCUGAUUAAUCUUGGCUUGGAUGAUCUUCCCUUGUCAGCUAGACAGCACACUGGACUUAGAAAGAAUGGAGUUAAAAUCUAGCCUCAGAUACUUCCUGUAUGAUGUUAGAAAAGUCAUUUAAUCUUUGCCUCAGUUUUCCCAACUUAAAAUGAGGAUACCAGUAGCACCUGCUUUCCAGGGUUGUUGUGAA
rnacentral:lncRNA from 1 species